GGAGCGUUCUGUAAGCCGAUGAAGGUGUGUUGAGAAGCAUGCUGGAGGUAUCAGAAGUGCGAAUGCUGACGUGAGUAACGACAAAACGGGUGAAAAACCCGUUCGCCGAAAGACCAAGGGUUCCAGUCCAACGUUAAUCGGGGCUGGGUGAGUCGACCCCUAAGGCGAGGCCGAAAGGCGUAGUCGAUGGGAAAAUGGUUAAUAUUCCAUUACUUCUGUGUAAUGCGAUGAGAGGACGGAGAAGGCUAAAUCAGCCUGGCGUUGGUUGUCCAGGUGAAAGGAUGUAGGCAUGUAUCUUAGGCAAAUCCGGGGUACUCUAUGCUGAGAUCUGAUAGCAAGCUGUACUUGUACAGCGAAGUGGUUGAUGCCAUGCUUCCAGGAAAAGUCUCUAAGCUUCAGUUACACAGGAAUCGUACCCGAAACCGACACAGGUGGUCAGGUCGAGUAGACCAAGGCGCUUGAGAGAACUCUGCUGAAGGAACUAGGCAAAAUGGUACCGUAACUUCGGGAGAAGGUACGCUGUUGUUGGUGAUGGAACUCGCUUCCUGAGCUGACGACAGCCGCAGAAACCAGGCCGCUGCAACUGUUUAUUAAAAACAUAGCACUCUGCAAACACGAAAGUGGACGUAUAGGGUGUGAUGCCUGCCCGGUGCUGGAAGGUUAAUUGAUGGGGUUAGCGUAAGCGAAGCUCUUGAUCGAAGCCCCAGUAAACGGCGGCCGUAACUAUAACGGUCCUAAGGUAGCGAAAUUCCUUGUCGGGUAAGUUCCGACCUGCACGAAUGGCAUAAUGAUGGCGGCGCUGUCUCCAGCAGAGGCUCAGUGAAAUCGAAAUCGCUGUGAAGAUGCAGUGUACCCGCGGCUAGACGGAAAGACCCCGUGAACCUUUACUGCAGCUUGACACUGAACUUUGACCUUACUUGUGUAGGAUAGGUGGGAGGCUUUGAAGCUGGAACGCUAGUUCCAGUGGAGCCGUCCUUGAAAUACCACCCUGGUAAUGUUGAGGUUCUAACUCUGUCCCGUGAUCCGGGACGAGGACCGUGUCUGGUGGGUAGUUUGACUGGGGCGGUCUCCUCCUAAAGAGUAACGGAGGAGUACGAAGGUGCGCUCAGCGUGGUCGGAAAUCACGCGUAGAGUAUAAAGGCAAAAGCGCGCUUAACUGCGAGACCCACAAGUCGAGCAGGUACGAAAGUAGGUCUUAGUGAUCCGGUGGUUCUGUAUGGAAGGGCCAUCGCUCAACGGAUAAAAGGUACUCUGGGGAUAACAGGCUGAUACCGCCCAAGAGUUCAUAUCGACGGCGGUGUUUGGCACCUCGAUGUCGGCUCAUCUCAUCCUGGGGCUGAAGCAGGUCCCAAGGGUAUGGCUGUUCGCCAUUUAAAGAGGUACGCGAGCUGGGUUUAGAACGUCGUGAGACAGUUCGGUCCCUAUCUACCGUGGGCGCUGGAAAUUUGAGAGGAUCUGCUCCUAGUACGAGAGGACCAGAGUGGACGAACCUCUGGUGUACCGGUUGUGACGCCAGUCGCAUCGCCGGGUAGCUAUGUUCGGAAGGGAUAACCGCUGAAAGCAUCUAAGCGGGAAGCCUACCUCAAGAUAAGAUUUCCCUAGGACUUUAUGUCCUCUAAAGAGCCGUUCGAGACUAGGACGUUGAUAGGUUGGAUGUGGAAGCAUAGUGAUAUGUGAAGCUGACCAAUACUAAUUGCUCGUGAGGCUUGACUAU
rnacentral:rRNA from 1 species